UACGUAGGGACCAAGCGUUGUUCGGAUUUACUGGCGUAAAGGGCGCGUAGGCGGCAAUUCAAGUCAUCUGUGAAAUCUCCGGGCUUAACUCGGAACGGUCAGAUGAUACUGCUUUGCUAGAGUGCAGAAGGGGCAAUCGGAAUUCUUGGUGUAGCGGUGAAAUGCGUAGAUAUCAAGAGGAACACCUGAGGUGAAGACGGGUUGCUGGGCUGACACUGACGCUGAGGCGCGAAAGCUAGGGUAGCAAACGGG
rnacentral:rRNA from 1 species